UACGAAGGGGGCUAUCGUUGCUCGGAAUCACUGGGCGUAAAGGGUGCGUAGGCGGGUCUUUAAGUCAGGGGUGAAAUCCUGGAGCUCAACUCCAGAACUGCCUUUGAUACUGAAGAUCUUGAGUUCGGGAGAGGUGAGUGGAACUGCGAGUGUAGAGGUGAAAUUCGUAGAUAUUCGCAAGAACACCAGUGGCGAAGGCGGCUCACUGGCCCGAUACUGACGCUGAGGCACGAAAGCGUGGGGAGCAAACAGG
rnacentral:rRNA from 1 species